GGGGAACGCGAAGAACCUUACCCAGGCUUGACAUGCAGAUGAUCGUUACAGAAAUGUAAUUUCCCUUCGGGGCAUCUGCACAGGUGCUGCAUGGCUGUCGUCAGCUCGUGCCNUGAGGUGUUUGGUUAAGUCCAGCAACGAGCGCAACCCUUAUCAUUAGUUGCCAACACUUAGGGUGGGAACUCUAAUGAGACUGCCUGGGUUAACCAGGAGGAAGGUGAGGAUGACGUCAAGUCCGCAUGGCCCUUAUGUCUGGGGCUACACACGUGCUACAAUGGUCGGUACAGAAGGCAGCGAAACCGCGAGGCGGAGCAAAUCCCGAAAGCCGAUCCCAGUUCAGAUUGUAGUCUGCAACUCGACUACAUGAAGACGGAAUUGCUAGUAAUGGUGGGUCAGCAACACCACCGUAAAUAUGUUCCCGGGUCUUUACACACCGA
rnacentral:rRNA from 1 species